rnacentral:lncRNA from 1 species
UUUUUAAGACUUUUUUUUAAGAUUGUCUUGAAAAUUAUUUUGACUUAAUGUCACACUUUGAUUUACUGAUUUACUAAUAUUUAUUUGCAGGUUUAGUUGCUUUUGUCUCCAUGUUGUCCAAGGGUUAUGUCGGCCAUGAUCCUAAUAUUAUCAUGGGUUUAGCAGAGUUGUUUAACUUGCAAACUGGAUUAAAGAUUUUGAAUAAAUUUUUGUGUUCUUAAUAUGGUCACAAGUUUGUACUUGUUUAAAACCCUCAAUCAUUUGAAAAUUAUGGCGCCGACAUGGUAGAUGUCCUAGAAAAAACUGGUAGUAACUCAAUUUAGAUACACAUAGUCGAUGGAGUUACUUGCUAAUAACUGGCAAUGAGACAUAUUUGCUUCAAAUGAUGCCUUUAAAGUUUGAAAAGAUUUUUUCUAAUUCAAAUGUCGACUUUUUGUUACAUGAAAAAAGAUACUUAUUUCAACCCCUCGACCAUAUUGGUA